AUUGAACGCUGGCGGCAGGCCUAACACAUGCAAGUCGAGCGAGCGGCGGACGGGUGAGUAAUGUAUGGGGACUGCCCGAUAGAGGGGGAUAACUACUGUAAACGGUAGCUACUACCGCAUACUAUCGGAUAACCCAUAUGGGAUUAGCUAGUAGGUGAGGUAAUGGCUAACCUAGGCGACGAUCCCUCUCUGGUCUGAGAGGAUGCUCAGCCACACGGGGACGGAGAAAGGGCCCAGACCCCUACGGAGGCAGCAGUGGGGAAUAUUGCAAAAUGGGCGAAAGCCUGAUGCAGCCAUGCGGCGUGGAUGAAGAAGGCCUUAGGUUUUUAAAGUAUUUUGAGUCGGGAGGCGUUACCGACAGAAGAAGCACCGGCUAACUCCGUGCCAGCAGCCGCGGUAAUAC
rnacentral:rRNA from 1 species